rnacentral:rRNA from 1 species
ACGACUUUUGGCAACGGAUAUCUUGGCUCUCGCAUCGAUGAAGAACGUAGCGAAAUGCGAUACUUGGUGUGAAUUGCAGAAUCCCGUGAACCAUCGAGUCUUUGAACGCAAGUUGCGCCCGAGGCUAUCCGGCCGAGGGCACGCCUGCCUGGGCGUCACGCC